GCUCCCUUUCUCAGUAUGACUUAUGAGGUUCUUCUCCCUUUCUCCUUCCCCGUUCUCUGCUGCUGUUGACGGAUGCAUUUAAUGGAAUUAGGAAAUGGUGGAGACUAGAGAUGGUGGUUCUGUUUCGAUUAGGAGAAUGAAGUGAUAGUUGUAGUGGGGAUCUGAAGUCUCAUUUCAAGGAAGAAGAUCUCGGUUUAGUGGAUCCUAAAAUUGAAAAAGAAAUUGGGUUUAUGUUGCUGGUAAUUGACCAAUGAAUGGAUGGGUUUCUUUUGAUUUCGAGUUGGAAGAUGAUGGAGGAGGAUUUGCUUGAAGCAGACAGAGGAUUUGUUGCUGAAGGAGGAGGAGGAGAUGUUGAGAAAGAUUUUAGGUUUAAACAGAACUGGCCAGUGAAUUUGAUGAUUUCUCAUCAAUCUUAAGCACCUAUUUCUGGUGGUGGUGGUUCUUUCACGAUUCCUCCUGGUUUGAGUCCUACUGGCUUACUUGGUUCUCCUGGGUCUUUUGCUUUUUCUCUGGUUAGGAAGAUAUUGUCGAAGCUGGGAUGGAGGAGGAACGUGCAAUACAAAAUAUAGAAGGUAUGGUAAGUGCUAGUUAUUAUUCUAGCCUAGAAACAAUGAGAGUUGCUGCUGUCUAGCAUGGUGCUGUUCGAGUAUUACAUGGAAGAUGGUAAUCUAAAGUUGUUGCUGUUAUGUGUAUCGAUGUAAGGGUUUUGAGCUCGAUGGAAGAGAUUUGGGGGUUGAAUUGGAUUUGAUUUUGAGGUGAAUUUGGUGGUUUUGGCCGUCUAAGGAUCAGUUAAACUAGUCUGUUGUUGCUGGUUUGCGGAGGGCUCUGUAGAUUGUACAUGUACCAGAUGGGGAAUCUGCUUUUCAGACAGACAAAGAAAUGUCAGUGUUGUAAGAGUUCCAAUCAUGUAUAGUUUAUAGCUUCAUUUCAGGCAAGCUCUUUUGCAGGCCACAUUUGUAUAGUGAUGCAUAUCUUUGUAAAGAUGAUGCCUGAUCUAAUAAUCAAGAUCUUUGUGACAUUUGUAACCUACACUUUUAGAUUUUUGUUAAAUUCCUUUA